UUAUGUUAUGUUGAUGAAAAAUCACGCGUUGUCUAAACUUUUGUCUUAGUUUAGUUGAGUGAGGUUUUUUAGUCAGGUUAACUACUUUAAUAGUCAUUUUUACUUGUAAAACUAUUUCAGCUAAAUUUAACAACACAUUCUCACUCCUAACUUGUCAAAUGUGUGACGCAUGGUCAGGCUCCCUCUGCUUCACUUACCGACGCGCCGGGUACCCCCCUCGCGUCGAGAAUUGACGUGAUGGAGGAUCACUGACAGGAGCGUGGGAAGACUCCAGAAUCCACUCUGGCUGGAAUCCGGUGGAUACAGCAGUGUUACAGAACAGUUCUCCACAGUCACUGUCCACAUGGGUCAGUGGGACCAAGCAGCACUCUGCUAAUGUGUGGACUCUGACCAGCAACAUCCAGCAAGACCCAGACAGCGUUUUCUAUCUCCCAGCUGGAGUUUUUUGUUUGUCUGUGACUGGAGAGUCAGAUUUUUGUUGAGGCUGGAGGAACAGCCUCACACUGGCAGAUGUAAGUCAGUUUGCAGAGAUCCCUCCCUCCAAGCGGAAGCGAAUGGAUGGAUGGAUGGACACAGUAAUGUGAAGUAUGCUUAUAUCUAGUAUAACUGAACCAACGUGGUGCUCUUCAUUUAUGGAGGCUGUUUGAGUCUGAAUGUUGGAUGUUGUGUAUCUCGUGUUCUCUGGGCUUUGUUGUCCUCAGUCUCUUUGCAGGAUCAGAAAACAAAACCAGGAGGCGCGUAAAUGUUUCUUCUCCAAUUGGAUGAUGAUAAGACCAUGACACGAGAUGCCACCUUUAGUCUUCUGAUGAAGCAAAGCUCAGGAAGAAGUGUGAUUAAAUGGUAUCCACAUGUGUGCUGCUGAGGAGGAUGUACAGGGGUACCUGCAGCCAAAUCCAAGCCUCUUCAGCAACAGAUGGUGACGGUGUGGAGAGACGGUGGUGUUUCCUCAGAAGAACUAGCAGAGUCACAAAGGGCACCAGUCCAUCUCACCGCCUUGACUUGCUGACUGAUGCUUGUCUGCAC